rnacentral:rRNA from 1 species
GGGUUGUGAGGUUAAGCGACUAAGCGUACACGGUGGAUGCCCUGGCAGUCAGAGGCGAUGAAGGACGUGCUAAUCUGCGAUAAGCGUCGGUAAGGUGAUAUGAACCGUUAUAACCGGCGAUUUCCGAAUGGGGAAACCCAGUGUGUUUCGACACACUAUCAUUAACUGAAUCCAUAGGUUAAUGAGGCGAACCGGGGGAACUGAAACAUCUAAGUACCCCGAGGAAAAGAAAUCAACCGAGAUUCCCCCAGUAGCGGCGAGCGAACGGGGAGCAGCCCAGAGCCUGAAUCAGUGUGUGUGUUAGUGGAAGCGUCUGGAAAGGCGCGCGAUACAGGGUGACAGCCCCGUACACAAAAAUGCACAUACUGUGAGCUCGAUGAGUAGGGCGGGACACGUGGUAUCCUGUCUGAAUAUGGGGGGACCAUCCUCCAAGGCUAAAUACUCCUGACUGACCGAUAGUGAACCAGUACCGUGAGGGAAAGGCGAAAAGAACCCCGGCGAGGGGAGUGAAAAAGAACCUGAAACCGUGUACGUACAAGCAGUGGGAGCCUCUUUAUGGGGUGACUGCGUACCUUUUGUAUAAUGGGUCAGCGACUUAUAUUCUGUAGCAAGGUUAACCGAAUAGGGGAGCCGAAGGGAAACCGAGUCUUAACUGGGCGUUAAGUUGCAGGGUAUAGACCCGAAACCCGGUGAUCUAGCCAUGGGCAGGUUGAAGGUUGGGUAACACUAACUGGAGGACCGAACCGACUAAUGUUGAAAAAUUAGCGGAUGACUUGUGGCUGGGGGUGAAAGGCCAAUCAAACCGGGAGAUAGCUGGUUCUCCCCGAAAGCUAUUUAGGUAGCGCCUCGUGAACUCAUCUCCGGGGGUAGAGCACUGUUUCGGCAAGGGGGUCAUCCCGACUUACCAACCCGAUGCAAACUGCGAAUACCGGAGAAUGUUAUCACGGGAGACACACGGCGGGUGCUAACGUCCGUCGUGAAGAGGGAAACAACCCAGACCGCCAGCUAAGGUCCCAAAGUCAUGGUUAAGUGGGAAACGAUGUGGGAAGGCCCAGACAGCCAGGAUGUUGGCUUAGAAGCAGCCAUCAUUUAAAGAAAGCGUAAUAGCUCACUGGUCGAGUCGGCCUGCGCGGAAGAUGUAACGGGGCUAAACCAUGCACCGAAGCUGCGGCAGCGACACUAUGUGUUGUUGGGUAGGGGAGCGUUCUGUAAGCCUGUGAAGGUGUGCUGUGAGGCAUGCUGGAGGUAUCAGAAGUGCGAAUGCUGACAUAAGUAACGAUAAAGCGGGUGAAAAGCCCGCUCGCCGGAAGACCAAGGGUUCCUGUCCAACGUUAAUCGGGGCAGGGUGAGUCGACCCCUAAGGCGAGGCCGAAAGGCGUAGUCGAUGGGAAACAGGUUAAUAUUCCUGUACUUGGUGUUACUGCGAAGGGGGGACGGAGAAGGCUAUGUUGGCCGGGCGACGGUUGUCCCGGUUUAAGCGUGUAGGCUGGUUUUCCAGGCAAAUCCGGAAAAUCAAGGCUGAGGCGUGAUGACGAGGCACUACGGUGCUGAAGCAACAAAUGCCCUGCUUCCAGGAAAAGCCUCUAAGCAUCAGGUAACAUCAAAUCGUACCCCAAACCGACACAGGUGGUCAGGUAGAGAAUACCAAGGCGCUUGAGAGAACUCGGGUGAAGGAACUAGGCAAAAUGGUGCCGUAACUUCGGGAGAAGGCACGCUGAUAUGUAGGUGAAGCGACUUGCUCGUGGAGCUGAAAUCAGUCGAAGAUACCAGCUGGCUGCAACUGUUUAUUAAAAACACAGCACUGUGCAAACACGAAAGUGGACGUAUACGGUGUGACGCCUGCCCGGUGCCGGAAGGUUAAUUGAUGGGGUCAGCCGCAAGGCGAAGCUCUUGAUCGAAGCCCCGGUAAACGGCGGCCGUAACUAUAACGGUCCUAAGGUAGCGAAAUUCCUUGUCGGGUAAGUUCCGACCUGCACGAAUGGCGUAAUGAUGGCCAGGCUGUCUCCACCCGAGACUCAGUGAAAUUGAACUCGCUGUGAAGAUGCAGUGUACCCGCGGCAAGACGGAAAGACCCCGUGAACCUUUACUAUAGCUUGACACUGAACAUUGAGCCUUGAUGUGUAGGAUAGGUGGGAGGCUUUGAAGCGUGGACGCCAGUCUGCGUGGAGCCGACCUUGAAAUACCACCCUUUAAUGUUUGAUGUUCUAACGUGGACCCGUGAUCCGGGUUGCGGACAGUGUCUGGUGGGUAGUUUGACUGGGGCGGUCUCCUCCUAAAGAGUAACGGAGGAGCACGAAGGUUGGCUAAUCCUGGUCGGACAUCAGGAGGUUAGUGCAAUGGCAUAAGCCAGCUUGACUGCGAGCGUGACGGCGCGAGCAGGUGCGAAAGCAGGUCAUAGUGAUCCGGUGGUUCUGAAUGGAAGGGCCAUCGCUCAACGGAUAAAAGGUACUCCGGGGAUAACAGGCUGAUACCGCCCAAGAGUUCAUAUCGACGGCGGUGUUUGGCACCUCGAUGUCGGCUCAUCACAUCCUGGGGCUGAAGUAGGUCCCAAGGGUAUGGCUGUUCGCCAUUUAAAGUGGUACGCGAGCUGGGUUUAGAACGUCGUGAGACAGUUCGGUCCCUAUCUGCCGUGGGCGCUGGAGAACUGAGGGGGGCUGCUCCUAGUACGAGAGGACCGGAGUGGACGCAUCACUGGUGUUCGGGUUGUCAUGCCAAUGGCACUGCCCGGUAGCUAAAUGCGGAAGAGAUAAGUGCUGAAAGCAUCUAAGCACGAAACUUGCCCCGAGAUGAGUUCUCCCUGACUCCUUGAGAGUCCUGAAGGAACGUUGAAGACGACGACGUUGAUAGGCCGGGUGUGUAAGCGCAGCGAUGCGUUGAGCUAACCGGUACUAAUGAACCGUGAGGCUUAACCUUACAACGCCGAAGGUGUUU